AUGUGGAUUUCCCUUGGUUAUUGUGCUGCACCUGUUGCAACUAUAGGCAUAACCUGUCAUAAAACACUCUAUCAAGAAAUGCUCCUUUAAGAUGAUAGAUUGAUGAAUUUUUCAGUUUUCAGCAAUAUAAGGAACUAAUAUGAUACUCCUAGUCAUUUGCUCUAUCUUGAGAUAAAUUUGAAAUUCACUUUUGGUUUGCUUGCACUUUUCCUGAAAACCUUGUUAAGUUUUUUUUUUCUG
rnacentral:misc_RNA from 1 species